GUGGUUGAGAAACACAAAAUAAUAGUUAAGUAUUCUCAAUUUAAAUACAAUUAUCAUUGAUGCUGUAAAAUUGACGCCAUAUUUAUACAGCAAUUCAGAUUCAUUCUGAACUUCAGACAUCAUUUUCUCUUUGGCGUACCAUCUAAAAUCUCUUCAUUUUAGCACAAUUUUACAGAUAAAGCACUAAACAUACUUUUUAAGUUUGUUUGCCGCUUGAGAAACGCAU